GGACACACCCCUGGAGAGACUACUUGUGUAGCAUCAAAGGAGCAACUUAACGGGAUGCGUUAGGGAAACUUUCAGAUAAAAGGACAGGGCGUAAAAU
rnacentral:ncRNA from 1 species